GCCGAUAUAGCUCAGGUAGUAGAGCAUCGUCUUGGUAAGACGAAGGUCAUCAGUGCAAAUCUGAUUAUCGGCUCCA
rnacentral:tRNA from 1 species